UACGAAGGGGGGCUAGCGUUGUUCGGAAUCACUGGGCGUAAAGGGCGCGUAGGCGGCUGUUCAAGUCGGGGGUGAAAGCCUGUGGCUCAACCACAGAAUUGCCUUCGAUACUGGACGGCUCGAGACCGGAAGAGGUCAGUGGAACUGCGAGUGUAGAGGUGAAAUUCGUAGAUAUUCGCAAGAACACCAGUGGCGAAGGCGGCUGACCGUGGUCCGGUUCUGACGCUGAGGCGCGAAAGCGUGGGGAGCAACAGG
rnacentral:rRNA from 1 species